AUUGAACGCUGGCGGCAGGCCUAACACAUGCAAGUCGAGCGAGCGGCGGCCGGGUGAGUAAUGCAUGGGAAUUGCCCAGUCGAGGGGGAUCACAGAUGGAAACGUAUGCUAACACCGCCUACGAUUUGCUUGCCCAGGUGGGAUGAGUUAUUUGGUGAGGUAAUGGCUAACAAAGGCGACGAUCCCGUGCUGUUCUGAUAGGAUGAUCAGGAACACUGGACCUGAUAGACGGUCCAUACUCAUACGUGAGGCAACAGUGGGAAAUAUUGCACAAUGGAGGAAACCCUGAUGCAGCCAUGUCGCGUGUGUGAAGAAGGCCUUCGGGUUGUAAAGCACUAUCAGCAAGGAGGCGUGACUCGCAGAAGAAGCACCGGCUAACGCCGUGCCAGCAGCCGCGGUAAUAC
rnacentral:rRNA from 1 species